rnacentral:lncRNA from 1 species
GGUAGCAGAAAAAUAUUAGACCUUUAAUUGAAUAUCACCUUCAAUGUUGUGUCAUUAAAAGAACUCCCUAAUAAAGUAUAAUUCAUACUGCAGCUUCUUACUUGCGUGGUUGUGGAAAAUGGCCAAGCUUUUCAAACUGCUUAGUAGUGGACUGGUGGUGGCGGAGAACCGUAAAUGUAUACCGGAGGGGGAGGUGAUUUUACGGGUGGGGGAGGUGAAGUGUAGUGGUAUGGAGGGGGAGGUGAUUUCACGGGUGGGGGAGGUGAAGUGUAAUGGUAUGGAGGGGGAGGUGAUUUUACGGGUGGGGGAGGUGAAGUGUAGUGGUAUGGAGGAGGAGGAGACUUCACAGGUGGAGGUGGAGAGUGGUAAUAGUAAGGAGGUGGGGGGGAUGGUGAUGGUGGUGGUGGAGACUUGUAAUAGUAAGGUGGGAGACUUGUAAUAGUAGGGUGGUGGGGGUGAUGGUGACGGGGGUGGUGGCGAUUUGUAGUAGUAAGGUGGAGGAGGUGACGGUGAUGGUGGUGGUGGAGACUUGUAGUAAUAGGGAGGUGGGGGUGAUGGUGAUGGGGGUGGUGGCGAUUUGUAGUAGUAUGGCGGAGGUGGUGAUGGUGAUGGUGGUGGUGGAGACUUGUAGUAAUAGGGCGGUGGAGGUGAUGGGGAUGGUGGUGGCGGGGAUUUGUAAUAGUAUGGUGGAGGAGGUGAUGGUGAUGGCGGGGGAGGGGACUUGUAGUAAUAUGGUGGUGGAGAUGGAGAUGGUGGUGGUGGAGACUUAUAAUAGUAUGGUGGAGGAGGAGACGGCGAUGGUGGUGGAGGAGACUUGUAAUAGUAGGAAGGUGGGGGUGAGGGUGAUGGUGGUGGUGGUGACUUAUAAUAGUAUGGUGGAGGAGGAGAUGGCGAUGGUGGUGGAGGAGACUUGUAAUAGUAAGGAGGUGGGGGUGAUGGUGAUGGGGGUGGGGGUGACUUGUAAUAAUAGGGAGGUGGUGGUGAUGGAGAUGGGGGUGGUGGUGACUUGUAAUAGUAUGGUGGAGGUGGAGAUGGGGAUGGUGGUGGAGGAGACUUGUAAUAGUAAGGUGGAGGUGGAGAAGGUGAUGGUGGUGGAGGAGACUUGUAAUAGUAAGGUGGUGGCGACUUGUAUACAUAUUUUGGUGAUGGAGGAGGCGGUGACUUGUAUAGGUACUUGGGUGAUGGAGGAGGCGGUGACUUAUACACGUAUUGCGGUGAUGGAGGAGGCGGUGACUUAUACAUGUACUUUGGUGGUGGAGGUGGUGGUGACUUGUAUAUAUAUUUUGGUGAUGGAGGUGGCGGUGACUUGUAUACGUACUUGGGUGAUGGAGGAGGCGGUGACUUGUACACGUAUUGAGGUGAUGGAGGAGGCGGUGACUUGUACAUGUACUUUGGUGAUGGAGGAGGUGGUGACUUGUAUAUAUAUUUUGGUGAUGGAGGAGGUGGAGAUUUGUAAUAAUAAGGAGCAGGAGUUGGCUUAGGCUUCAUGCAUUCUUCAUAAGGAGUUUUAGAGGCAUAAGCAAAUGGUUUUGCAUAGAGCACAACUUCAUAUUUAUUCUUUGACUUCACACUGAGGCUUGCACCUUU